AACGAACGCUGGCGGCGUGCCUAACACAUGCAAGUCGAACGAGAAAGGGGCUUCGGCUCCGAGUAAAGUGGCGCACGGGUGAGUAACACGUAGGUAACCUGCCUCUAAGAUUGGGAUAACCUGUCGAAAGACGAGCUAAUACCGAAUAAGACCACGGCUUCCUCGGAAGCAGGGGUCAAAGGUAGCCUCUACUUGUAAGCUAUCACUUGGAGAUGGGCCUGCGUACCAUUAGCUAGNGGUGGGGUAACGGCCUACCAAGGCAAAGAUGGUUAGCUGGUCUGAGAGGAUGAUCAGCCACACUGGAACUGAGACACGGUCCAGACUCCUACGGGAGGCAGCAGUGGGAAUAUUGCGCAAUGGGCGAAAGCCUGACGCAGCAACGCCGCGUGAGUGAUGAAGG
rnacentral:rRNA from 1 species